CGAAGGCAGGUUCACUUUCACGUUCAAAAUGACACCUUUCCAUCUCUGUAAACAACAUGACACCCUCAUGACGCCGCAAUACAUUUGUAUCGUUUUACCGUUAUAAAAGUACAGUUUCUGCAGCUGACAGCUGAAUGACAGACUCAUAAUGUCACUUAACAGCACAUAUUUCAUCCCAACAGGAAAAACAACCGACACACGCUGUGAUAAAGUGAAGGAAUCGACUGUCACGCGACUCACCUAAUAAGGGAUGUUUGGACCGUUACACAACAACAUAAGCAUGUGGACAGACAUUGACUGUAAUGAUGGACAUCUGCUGAUGCACAGGUCCACCUCUCCUCCAUCCCCACAGUCCCCCUCAUCUCUGUUACCACCCCAGGUAUGUCAGUUAGUCUGUGUUUCUCAUCUGUUUUUCCACCCCAGAUAUCUUAGCCAGUUAGUCCGUGUUUCUUAUGGCUGUGUAGCCAGUCUGUUUCACCACCCCUGAGUGCUCACUGUGAGCCUCAGGUAUUCGCCUUUGCCACCACACCCUUUCGCUUGGUGUACUGCCCCAGGUACUUUGCUGUCGCCACAGCUUUAUUGCUUUGGUGUGUUCCCCGCACAUUGAACAGUGGGAUUUGAACCCAAGCCUCUACCGUAAUCUUGUCUGCAACCAACGUGUGUUCAGCCACUAGUGCCAUCAUGGCUUUCACACUGAGAGUUGUCGUUUGAGGCACAUUGUAGGAUUUAAUGAC
ensembl:lncRNA